GACGAACGCUGGCGGCGUGCCUAAUACAUGCAAGUAGAACGCUGAAGGAGGAGCUUGCUUCUCUGGAUGAGUUGCGAACGGGUGAGUAACGCGUAGGUAACCUGCCUGGUAGCGGGGGAUAACUAUUGGAAACGAUAGCUAAUACCGCAUAAUAGCAGUUGUUGCAUGACAACUGUUUGAAAGGUGCAAUUGCACCACUACCAGAUGGACCUGCGUUGUAUUAGCUAGUUGGUGGGGUAACGGCUCACCAAGGCGACGAUACAUAGCCGACCUGAGAGGGUGAUCGGCCACACUGGGACUGAGACACGGCCCAGACUCCUACGGGAGGCAGCAGUAGGGAAUCUUCGGCAAUGGGCGGAAGUCUGACCGAGCAACGCCGCGUGAGUGAAGAAGGGUUUCGGAUCGUAAAGCUCUGUUGUAAGAGAAGAACGAGUGUGAGAGUGGAAAGUUCACACUGUGACGGUAUCUUACCAGAAAGGGACGGCUAACUACGUG
rnacentral:rRNA from 1 species